ACAGCACGUCGGUAGAGGUAGUAGUGUGUGUCGUACAACGGGUGUUACGGACGUGCGAAACGUGUUGUGGAAUUGUACCAGAUAUUGUGAAAGUGGGCGCAUUACAACAGGUGUAUUGGAAGUGAAAAGAAGCAACAGGUAUAUUGGAAGUGGAACAAAAGCAACAGGUUUUGUUGGCGGUCAUGAUGGAACGCGGAACCUUCGCCCUGACAUUGGCCUCGAUACUCGCAAUCAUAACCACGCUCGAUGCCGAGGGAUACGCAUACGGCGGAGGAGGCUACGGAGGUCAUUCAGGAGGAGGGUACGGCGGGGGAGGGCACGGUGGUCAUUCAGGAGGGUACGGGGCCACGUCAUACGGAGGCGGCUCCGGCCAUCAUGGCGGCGGCUACGGAGGACAUGGAGGAGGUUAUGGCAUCUAUUCUGGCUUCCUAGGUCUCGUCAAAGGAACGCACAAGU